GUGUGUGUGUGCGUGUGUGUGUGUGCGUGUGUGUGUGUGUGUGAGCUUUGAUGGAAGGGCCAAGCGGUUGUCUUGGAUGUGAAUGUCAGUGGCAGCUUGUCUGCUCUCCUCCCUUCACCUUGUCACCACUCAUCGUCUAUCAUCCCUCCCUCGUUCUCUCUCUCUCCAUUUUUCACUCUCAGUCCUUUUAUCUCCUCUCUCUCUCUUUCUCUCUCUCUCUCUCUCCAUCUCUUUGUCUUUCAAAUCCUUUCUCCCUCUACAUAUUUUUCUUUGGUUGUUCCUGAGUGGUGGUCUGCCCUCUAUUUCAUCUCUCUCCACAAGAGCUCCCAGCAUCGUGUCAGAUGAUGUCACGUUAUAUUGUGGACAAGUUUUAACAGGAGACGGACGGACGGAGCCCUCGACAUCGACGCCGCCGGGAGUUCUCGUCGAAAUAAACCUGUGAGUAGAAGUUGGUUCAAAGAUGGCGCCCACCGCAUUUCUACCCGUGCACGAUCCGACCAGACGCCGACGGAUUGUUCCGGAAAACCUGUGGACUCCGCCCCUGCAAAUGAAUCCUGUGACUUUUCCUGAUAUGAACCGACGUCGGCGUGGGAUUUCCCAGUUUGAAGAGACGGAGCCGCAACAGUCGGGAGGACCAACAGAUCACAACCAUCAGUUAGAACGACAGGGCUCUUUUUGAUUGACGGAUAUUAAUAAACUGCUAUGGAAAUAAACAUUACGUGGAAGAAACCAUGUCGACUGUUGAGAGUACAGUCCAUUCACUGCACCAUUCUGGAGUCUAUCUGUUCACACAGAACAGUCUGGAGCUCAUACUGGAAAAUGAAUAGUACUUUCCAGAACAGGACACAGAACUCCAGUCCCAGCCGACACACACACACACACACACACACACUCACACUCACACACACACACACUCACACACACACACACUCUCUGUGGCGACCUCGUAUUGAACCUGCAGACUUCUCCACACCUUCCCAUCACGUCCGUCAAUGAAUCCCCCCCCUCGAUUGGUAACAUUAUCAGAUUUGCUGAUCGAUACCCGCCACUGUUGUAUCAAAUCAUAGCUCUUUGUUAUCAAUAUCCCAGGAGUGUGCGUGUUCAAUCAGGGAGAAGGGGCCCGGUCGAUAGCCGGCAGCUGUUGCCGCCGAUCCUGAAGCCCCGUCGAUGCCAAGCGGCGCCCCUGACAAAUGAUAACGCGCCCGGAUCGAUGCGCUCGCCUCACCCGAUGGUUACCCCCCGGAUGGGCAAGAUGGAGACGCACGCUGCGAUACAGCAAUGACACUGGAGGUUUGCAGUCCAACCGGUGGUGUUAUUCAUUUGCUGGAAAUAAAAGAAGCCAAUGAAUGAAACUUGGCUUUUAUUUAAAGAACCUGUGUGAGGCAUUGAAGUCCAGGCUCGACACAAGCAG